rnacentral:rRNA from 1 species
GACGAACGCUGGCGGCGUGCUUAACACAUGCAAGUCGAACGAAGCUUGAUUACGGAUUCUUCGGAUGAAGUAUGAUAUGACUGAGUGGCGGACGGGUGAGUAACGCGUGAGUAACCUGCCCUUCAGAGGGGGAUAGCGUUUGGAAACGAACGGUAAUACCGCAUAAUGUAUUUUGACCGCAUGAUCGAAAUACCAAAGAUUUAUCGCUGAAGGAUGGACUCGCGUCUGAUUAGGUAGUUGGUGGGGUAACGGCCUACCAAGCCGACGAUCAGUAGCCGGACUGAGAGGUUGAUCGGCCACAUUGGGACUGAGACACGGCCCAGACUCCUACGGGAGGCAGCAGUGGGGAAUAUUGCACAAUGGGCGCAAGACUGAUGCAGCAACGCCGCGUGAAGGAAGACGGUUUUCGGAUUGUAAACUUCUGUUCUUAGUGAAGAAUAAUGACGGUAGCUAAGGAGCAAGCCACGGCUAACUACGUG